AUGGGGUCAAUCGAGCAGCACAACGCCGAAACCAUCACCAAGCUCGAUGAGAUCGCAGAGCAGCUCAAGGGCAUCACGACCUGGAUGCGUACGAUGGACGAGACGACGCGCACCCUCAACACCUCGGCGUCACUCCUGCAGCUCCACGCCGAGGACGCAUCCACGCGCCUCCGUGCACUGGAAUCAUCUUCGGCGGUGACACCGCGUCCCCCGACACCUCCAGGUCCGGCCUCCCCUUCGGCGCCGCCUCAUACGGUGGAAGUGCGCACGGCAGGCAUGGAUCGGCCCCAAGGGCACGGCGUACACCCAACUCCACGGGGGCCAGUUUUUGGGGAUCCUCCAUUCCCUCAACUGCCUCCGGCUCAUGGUAUGCUCCCAAACACCCGUACGGGGUUCGAUUCAGAGUUUGCCCAUGGCGACCAUUGA
rnacentral:rRNA from 1 species